rnacentral:lncRNA from 1 species
UGAUGUUCAGCACUGAUCAACUUCUCUGGUCAACCAAGUUUUGCCAUGAUUUUUUUUCUUGUAAACUGCUUAUUGAAAACCCAGGGAUAAAAUCAACUGUUCAUUGUGGAAGGCCUUAAAUUACAUUAUUACAGUAGAAAAUACAGGAGGUAGAAGAUAACUGAAAAGACUAAUGCAACAUUAGAUUCAAAUCUAUAGCUCCUGUAGCUAUGUAAAACAUGGUUUUAAAAACUAAACCCAACAUUUUUCAGUAACCAUAGAAAACAAUUAAAAUAAAUUUGCCAUGAAAGCCCUCAUAUCAUGCUUGAUACACGGAGGUAGGAAGAUUUAAGAACCAGAAGGACACGUGAGACAUGACAUUUUAUCUACAACUCCUGUUUGCUUUACUGAGCUUGUAGUUUUACAAUUCAGUUGUCUUCUUCUGCUUCAGACUCAGAUUCUUCUUCCGCAUUCUUGAGCCACUCUACAAAUUUUUUCAUUUGCUCAAGAAAGACACUUUUCCCCUUUGCAACAUGUGCAUCUUUAUACCACUUCAAAAUGGCUCUUCACUCAGGACUUCAGCUUUAUAAAAAAGCACCACAAUUUUCUGGAAGGCUUUCAUGAAGUGAACGUUGUCAUAACAGUACUCCUGCAUCUUCAGUAACAGAGUCAGCUCAGACUGACCUUGAGUAGUAAAGGCAGCACGUAGAGGGCUGUAUUGCUUCAAAUGCUUGAUGGCUUACUCUGCUACCAGCUCCUCAUUUUUGUUCCAUUCCACAGUGCUCAUUACACUUGACCAGACUAUGCCUAUAACGAUCUGUUCUGGGAUAUUGUUUUUCUUCAUCUCCUCCCUGACAUACAAAAUUAUAUCCUUAAAUGGAUCACCACGUGACGUUUGUUCUUGAAGUUUUUUCUGUAGCUCUUUACGAGCUCCUAUGGUUUGCUGGUUCCGAACAUACUCAGAAAGUUCUUUUAGACCUGCUUCGGUAAAAUAUUUUGUGAAGUGUUCAACAUUUUGUUUUUUAGCAGGAAAAAGUUCCAUCAGUCUCUUGUCCAUGCUGACUUUUCGAAGACUAGCAGCUACUGUAUUGAUAUCUUUUUCAUUUAUCCAUGAUUUAAACAGCUUUACAGCAAAGGCUGCUGAAAUGCCUCCUUUAACCAAAUUCUCAUUAUAAAGGCUGUUAAGAAUGGAUGCAUUAAGUGUCCCAUUGGCCAGAAGAACCCCAGUCCAGUCAACAUGGCCAGUUUGUUCCUCUCAGACUCUGAAAAACCCUUUAAGAAUAGCAGCAGCUUUUUAACUUCAUCCUCAAAUCCCUUUUCAAGGUAUUUGUAUCACCUGAUUAACUUGUUGAAUACCUGAGCAAAGGCUUGCACGGUCUCUAGGUCUUCUUGUGCUGCAAAUACACAGACAUCGGUAGACAUCAUGUCAUCUGCCAGUGUACCACCUGGGGCCAGCAUGCCACCAGCCACCAGAAUGUCAAAGAGUGUUUCUGCAUAUCUGCGAUAAUCAAGUUUUGCCCCAGAAGCAUCAAGAAAUUUUGCUACUGCUUCCGAAUCAGUGCCAGUUUCAGUUAAACCUUGAAUAAUAUAGUCCUGAAACUGAGUAGGGUCAAACCUGUCUUUUGCAUCUCUUUUUCUAGUUUUAAAACGCUGGCCUGAUAGCGUUGGCUUUUGCUGCUUUUGAUUAUUCAUAAAAGACAGCCUUUCCCAGGUGCGGCUCCAAAUCCAGCUCCCGGGUCAGACCCAGGCCUGGCCUCACGCAGCUGC